rnacentral:tRNA from 1 species
CAGUGGAUAGUUUAAGUAAAAUUUUAAUUUUGGGGAUUAAGGAUAGAUGUGGAGUUUUUCAUUGA